rnacentral:rRNA from 1 species
UACGAGGGGGGCAAGCGUUGUUCGGAAUUACUGGGCGUAAAGCGUGCGUAGGUGGUCGUUUAAGUCUGUCGUGAAAGCCCUGGGCUCAACCUGGGAAUUGCGAUGGAUACUGGGCGACUAGAGUGUGGUAGAGGAUAGUGGAAUUUCCGGUGUAGCAGUGAAAUGCGUAGAGAUCGGAAGGAACAUCUGUGGCGAAGGCGACUAUCUGGGCCAACACUGACACUGAGGCACGAAAGCGUGGGGAGCAAACAGG